GCUGGGUGUGGUGGUGUGCACCUGUAGUCCCGGUUACUUGGAAGGCUGAGGUGAGAGAAUAACUUGAGCCUGGGAGGUCAAGGCUGCUGUGAGCCAUGAUGGCACCACUGUACUCUAGCCUGGGCAAUAGAGCAAGUCCUUGUCUCUU
rnacentral:SRP_RNA from 1 species